GACGAACGCUGGCGGCGUGCUUAACACAUGCAAGUCGAACGGAAAGGCCCUGCUUUUGUGGGGUGCUCGAGUGGCGAACGGGUGAGUAACACGUGAGUAACCUGCCCUUGACUUUGGGAUAACUUCAGGAAACUGGGGCUAAUACCGGAUAGGAGCUCCUGCUGCAUGGUGGGGGUUGGAAAGUUUCGGCGGUUGGGGAUGGACUCGCGGCUUAUCAGCUUGUUGGUGGGGUAGUGGCUUACCAAGGCUUUGACGGGUAGCCGGGCUGAGAGGGUGACCGGACACAUUGGGACGGGGAUACGGCCCAGACUCCUACGGGAGGCAGCAGUGGAGAAUAUUGCACAAUGGGCGGAAGCCUGAUGCAGCAACGCCGCGCGGGGGAUGACGGCCUUCGGGUUGUAAUCCGCUUUCGCCUGUGACGAAGCGUGAGUGACGGUAAUGGGUAAAGAAGCACCGGCUAACUACGUG
rnacentral:rRNA from 1 species